rnacentral:lncRNA from 1 species
GAACUACUGUCAAUGGUUUACUUCUUAGGAAUGUUAAAAAAAAAAAGAUUACUACGUGAUUUUUUGAAUAUGCCUAUAUCUAUCGCUUUUGCUUCAUUGAUUUGAUUCUCUCAAUAGAUACUGAGAUUCAUAUUGGAAAUCAAAAAUAUAGUAAUUCAAACUAUAAGACAUAGGAGUAAUUCAGAUUGAUCAGAACAAAUAGAUAUAGCAAAUAAAUGGAAUUGGAUGCUAUGUCAAUCCCAUAUAUGGAAUUGAUAUUCACAUAUAUCAAGAUAAUAUUGUAGAUUGAUAUAUAGAUCCAUAUCAAAUGCAGCCUCUAUCUUUAUUUUAUUCCAGGGGGCAGCUUUAUAACAAGAAUCUAACUAAUAAAUAGUAUGGUAGAAAGAAAUAGAUGAAUCUUUCUACCAUACUAUCUAUCUAUUAGAAUACUGCCGAUUCUAGUCCACUCAUUUCAUUUAAGACAUGAAAUUGGAAUCUUUUUCAUUUUAUUUCGUCAAUUUUGGCUAAGAACUCAGAAGUCAAGUUUCAUUCAAAUUAGUUAAUAAUUAAUCGUUUUGACUGACUGUUUUUACAUAAAUGAUAAGUAGAAAAGCGGUAGGAACUAGAAUAAAUAGUGCAGUAGCAAUAAAUGCAAGAAUAUUUACUUCCAUAAUCUCAUCGGUUUUUUACUUCGCAAUAACUCGGGAUUUAAUCCCAUAGAGAUGAUAAAUCUUUGGCCUGUAAAUUCAAUGAAUGAAUAUUACCUCUCGAUGAUCUUGAAUCAGAUCAAUAUCAUGAAUAACAAUAUCUGAACUAUCAAAUAAAUUCGUCGUCGAGAAUUGAAUAGUAUAACAUAGGAAGUUCUUUUAUCCAUACCGCCCCAAACUCGGAUUGCUGACCUAACCCAAAAUUCCUUUAUUUAUUUAUCAUUUUUUAUUAUCUGUUCUUUUUUUCUCUCUAAUCUAUCUAGUUCCUUCUUGUACAAUCAUCUGAUGAAGUCUCAUCAAAUAGCUCUUCCACUUCCAGUGGUCACAUAGUUACAAACCCAAACAAACAAUAAAAGCUAAAUGGAAAAAGAAAGGAGUUUAGAACGAAACUAUUUUUGACUUGGAAGACAAAGAAGUGUGAUAAAGAUGAGACCGUAUAAAAUGAAUAUUCAUCAAAUUGACUAUUUUCCGAUUUGUUCGGUCGUCGAUGGGGCCUUAAAACAAAAUGAAAAAUAGGAAAAAUGAUUCAUUCGCCUUUCUAAGAGGAGUAGGAUCUUUGGUUGAUCUGUCCUUCCCCCUCCUUUCUUCGUCGAUUAUUAGCCCCGGGACACCUAUACCAAAAGCUCAGUGUGCAAUUUGCAUGAAAUCUAUUUUGCAACUUCAAACUAGUAAGUCAGGUUCCAUAAAUCCGUAGCCAGAAAAAGAAAUUGUUUUUUUUUUUUUUUUGUUUUUUCUGGAAAGUAUUUUCUUAUAUUCAAUUUUGUAUUGGACAACAAAGGAAUUCCUUUUGUGUAUGCGCGCCUCAAAAAAGUAUAGUACUCGAUUCCAUUACAUGCAUCGGGGGCAAUCGAAAAAGCCAGCAUUUCUUGGAAUACUGACUAUAAUGCUACCAAUAAUUGUACUAAUCCAACCGCAUAUGUCUUUCUCCUACCAAAAGGAAAGAAAAAAGAAAUAAGGAUUUCCCCUUUGCUUUGACAAUGGAAUUCUUCCCCCGGUCCCCUUCAGAAAAAGGGAGAGAUUUUUUGAUAUAUUUAUUGGAUCCGUCGGGACUGACGGGGCUCGAACCCGCAGCUUCCGCCUUGACAGGGCGGUGCUCUGACCAAUUGAACUACAAUCCCAGGGAAAUACGGGAUCUAGCAGAAAAUUUGAUUCUUUUUUAUCUCCGGAUCGGGUAUUUCUGAAGUACAAAGGGAGUUAUAUCAUCUCAUGGCGGAUUGGCGAAUUAUUGGGCCGAGCUGGAUUUGAACCAGCGUAGACAUAUUGCCAACGAAUUUACAGUCCGUCCCCAUUAACCGCUCGGGCAUCGACCCAGGAAGAAUCAAUUUUCAACUUAUUGGUAAUCCAUGAUCAAUUUCCUUUCGUAGUACCCUACCCCCAGGGGAAUUCGAAUCCCCGCUGCCUCCUUGAAAGAGAGAUGUCCUAAACCACUAGACGAUGGGGGCCCGCUUGACCAACGGCCAUCAUACUAUGAUGAUAGUAUGAUCCGUUUUUUAAAAUUGUCAAUAUAAUCAAAUGAUUCUAGCCGAGGGAUCUUUCCCCCCUUCAGAAUUGCAUAGAAUUGUUUUUUAUUCGUCAUUGACGAAUUAUUCAUUAGAAUCGACAUUAGAAAUCUAGUAGUAGUAUUUUUUUUAAUUAUUUCAAUUGAAUUUAUUUCUAUUCGAGUCGGUCUUGAAACAAUUCAUUGCAUUUUCUCCUAUACUUCCUAGGUAAAUCCAUUUUAUUAUUCAACAAUGAGCCACUAGACACUAUGUAUCUACUGCACGUACUUAAUGCAUAUAUACUUAUGUUUAUAAUAUAAGUACAUAUAGAUAUUU